GGAGGAAUCGUUAGAGAUUUUUAGCCUAUAUAUAGGCGUCCUAACUUCGAGUUGUUUGUGACCAAAUCGAGAGAGAGAGAGAGAGAGAGACAGAGUAACUAAGCAUGGAUCCGAGACUAGAGGAAGCAGCUUAUGCGGGAGACCUCACUUUGUUACGGCGUUUGCUACGAGNNNNNNNNNNNNNNNNNNNNCAAUACGAGAGAGAGAGAGAGAGAGACAGAGUAACUAAGCAUGGAUCCGAGACUAGAGGAAGCAGCUUAUGCGGGAGACCUCACUUUGUUACGGCGUUUGCUACGAGAAGACCGGCUCCUGCUCCACAGGCAAGCCAUCGCCGCGGCUCACCUGUCGGACAGCCCCCUCCACAUCGCUGCAUCGCUCGGCCACUCCGACCUGGUCCGGGAGAUCCUCGCCGUAAACCCGGAGCUCGCGCAUGGCCGCAACCGCGAAGGCCUUUCCGCCUUGCACCUGGCCGCUGCCCAAGGCCACUUGUCCGUGGUGAACGAGCUGCUGCAGUACGCAGCCGCUGCCAAUCUCUGCUUGGCGACCGACAACGAUAGCUUCAUGCCCGCCCACACUGCAGCCUUACGAGGCAGGCUUGAUGUAUUGACAGUGUUACUGGAUGCGUGCCCGGAGUCCUUGCGAGCUGUGACAUCGCAAGGUGACUCCAUCCUUCAUCUUACUGUGAAAUCGAACAGCUUCGAGACCGUGCAGUUCUUGCUGAACAGAACAGAUGAAAACGAUGAGCUGCUCAACUCCGGAGAUGCGAAAGGCAACACCGUCCUGCACCUUGCUGUGGCCAGAAAACAGCUCCAGGUAGGUAUUCCUUAUCCCAAUUAGAGGAAAUGAAUUUGUCUUCUUCUUUUCACCAGGUGUUUAUGCAUCUCUGCACCUUCUGAUACGAGAACUUUCCCACAACAAAAGAUAAAUACUCUUUGCAUUUCAAUCAAAAAAAGGCAAAUGGAAAUACCGAGGAACUUCCUGUUCAUAGCUCUGGUAAUACGAUUGAAUGCAGACCGUGAAGUUGCUUCUGGGAAGGAGAGGUAUCGAAGUUAACGCCACAAACAUGAGAGGCGACACCGUCCUUGAUAUGCUACUGGAUUCACCCUGCCAGCUUGGAGAUCUGUUGUUGGGAGAACUGAUUCGAGCAGCAGGUGGAAGAACCACAGCAGAAGAAGGGAAGACUCGGCCGAAAUCGUCACCGGGUGAUGCCAGAGCCUCUGCCACUGUCGCGUCACACAGAAGCCGACCAAAUCGUUCUGAACCUAAAGAAAAGUACAACAACAAACCAGCAACACUAAUGUUGGUGGCGACGUUGAUCGCCACCAUCACAUUCGCAGCUGGGCUGAACCCCCCUGGUGGGUUUAAGCAGAAAGAUGAUGGUGGGUCGACUCCCCCCAUUGCAGAAGUCAAUUUUGAUGAGAGUUCAAGUGAAGGGGAGGCAGUUCUAAAAGAUGAUCUCGAGUUAUUCCUACUGUUCGACAUGUUCGGGUUGUUUGCAUCCUUGAGCAUCAUCCUCUUGUUGAUAUGUUGUGUGCCCAGACAGACUAAAAUGGUGAUGGGAAUCCUAAAGUGGAUUCUAUGGCUGGCGGUGUUCUCGACGGCAUUAGCAUUCUCGACCGCCAUUGUGCGAAUAUUUUCCUAUCAGCUCUACACUGUCAUCCUUCUCAUGAGUUGGUUCGGAAUUCUCAGUCUCUUCAUGAUUUGGGUGUGCUUUAGAGCGAUCAGAGGCUUGUUGCGCAAAGGUGGAUGCUGGAAGAAGAAAGAUGGAGAAGGAGAAAGCCAGGGAGUCCCCACAAGGGCCGUUGCCAUCCGCACGAAGAUUGUGGUGGGCGCGUUGAUGAUAAUUAUCUUUGGAGUAGUUCUUAUUGUAAAUUAUUUAGUGUUUGUUUAUAUAUUAAAUAUGCCAAAUAAUAGAAUAAUAUGAUCUAUCAUUAUUCUUAUAUGGUUUAUCCUUUAUCAUCCUUUAAAGUUACUUUAUCUUAUUUUCAGAAUGUAAUUUGCUUUAAUCAUUAUUAACUUUGGUUUUGUUGUUACAGAUGAUUUAUUAGAGUUUUGUGGAACAUUAUAUCUCUUACAUAUUAAUGAUGUAUUUAUUUAAAAACACUGGAUUCAGCAAAUCUAAAACUAAUCAAUAGUACAAUGAUGCACUAAUAUAUUUAUAAAAUCUUAAAUAUCUGAAUCAUUAUCCAUACUUGAAUAAUUUAGAACCGACAUAAUAUUAAAUGGUGCAUAAAAGAUAACAAGGAUUUAAUGUAUAGAAUUAUCAAUUAUUAACAACUGUGUGCCUAUACUUAUGUUGCACUUCAAAAAAAACAUAAUUAAUCCUUCAUAAAUACUUUUUUUUUAUUAUAUGAAAGGAAUUUAGAAUAUCUUUUAUGUCUAAUUUGGAUUUUUUUCUGUAUCAACUAUAAUAUUUUUAUAUUAUUACUAUUUUUAUUUAAUUUUUUAGGAUAUUCAUUUUAUUUGGAAAAAUAAUGAAUGUAUUCUUCAAAUAUGUAUUAUGCAACCCCUCUGCUACAUGUUUUUAUUGUCAUCAACUCUUUCGGUGGUUAUUAUUAUUAUUAUUAUUAUUAUUCUUUUAAAGGCUGAUGUCACAAUUUAUUGUUCAAUUACAUUUAUUUUUUUCCUUUUCAUCAAGCUUUUAAAAUUUGUUCUACGAUGAAGAUGGAUUUACAACUAUAGACUUGUCAUAAGUUUUUUUUAUUUUUAUUAUAAAAAUAAGUAUUAAUUACUCUUAUAUAUGUUAUAUGUAUAGUAAUAUGGUUAAAUUCCCCAAAAAUCAAAAUUCAAUAUACAAAUUUAUAAUUUCAUAAUAAAAUUACAAGUUAUCAUCAAUUUCAAGUGAAAUUAGUAGGGAGAACCCACCUCAAUCAUAUAUCACAUGACUAUUAGCUCAGCAUAAAGAACAAACCUAUGUCAUAUGAUAGACACCUAAGUCCCACAAAAAAAGGCUUGUUAUAAAGAUUCUUCAAUUUACUAUUAUCAAUAUCAAUUACUGUUUACUCAUGAUUUCACUUUUUAUUUCAAUCUUAAUUUGAGUAUAGAUGGGAUUAGAUGAGACGCCCAACUUUAUCUUUUUUUACAUUGAUCAUCGAAUAAGCAAACAAGCAUUAGAGUCAUCCUUUUAGUUGUCUUUUUCUCUCAAGCAUGAUCACAAUUUUACUAUGCUUAAUCCGAGAUACGAUAACAGUUCCACCGACCCAUCCAUUCGAAGUCGAAGAAUCAUCCAUAUGACACAAAGGUUUUUUAAAUAUGUCAACCGUUUUAACCCUAAGUGUCAAAUAGGUGUUAAUUAUGUGACAUUGAUGAAUUGUGUCAAUCAUGUGAUAUGAAGGUAUAAUCCACAUGAUGCUAAAGUAUCGAUCAUAUCUUUAUUCCUAUAUUAUAUUUUAAUAUAUUUUAUUAAAUGACUCAGAUAACUUGAUUUAUAAAGAUUUUGACUCUUAAUCGGAAGAUUAUAUAUUCACAAUCAACUCAUGUAUUUUAAUGCCAUAAUAUUUUUAAAAAAUACUAUUGUAAAAAAUAGAAUGGAGGAAAAAAUGAAAAUAUAAAAAGUAUAAGCUUGAGUUUUUUCCCAUAAAUAUAUCCUCCUUUACGAAAGAUGAUGCCUAUGGUCCGAUCGCACUUGACGUAGAAUAAUAUUUAGCAGUUAAAAGUGGCACCCCUAAUAGUUCCAUGUUAGGAAUCCUAACGACAAGUCCACUAAAAGUCACUAAGCUAAGGUAAUUAAGAUAUUAAAGUGAUCAAACCACAAGCAUAUGCAUUGUUUUGUAUCUUUCUUUGCAAUCAUAAGAUAAUACAUUAUUUUAGUUAGGUUAGAAACUAAUCCAAAUCAAAUAUUAGGACAAUCUUUUUGCCUCUCAUGCAACCUUGAAUCAAUACCUCUUAUGGUCAAAGUCUUCAAAUAGACUUCGUACAAGUCAUUGUUAAUUGUUGGCCUCAUGUGAAGUGCUCUGACUCAUCAUGCAUGAACUUGAAUGGAUGAUAGAGCAACGAGGGAAUGAGACAUGCAUCUACAAUAAAAGAUUUGAGCAACGAGGGAAUGAGACAUGCAUCUACGAUAAAAGAUUUGGUUGACGUAAAGAGCCACCGAAUCAUGGUGACAUAGGUCGUAAGACUCGAGUCUAGUUGGAUAAUGACUCAUACGUAAAUUAGAUAUUUGGUCUCCAUACCCAACUAAUUAGAUCGAAUUAAGGUGUUUUAUAAGCUAAUAAUGCAAUAAUACAUCCUUUGAGCUUCAUCUUUUCAGUCGCUUAAAAAUAUUUCUUCUUUAUCCAAACUUUAUAUACUCCUUGAAACUCUGAAAUCUAACCUAAUAAUGCAAUAAUACAUUCUUCGAGCUUCAUCAUUCGAUUCACUUAAAAAUAUUUCUUCUUCGAGUCAAACUUUAUAUUCUUCUUAUAACUUUGAAACCUUCUUAUGCAAUACAAGCGAAGACUAACAUCGAGAGACUAUGGGGCUAUGAAAACUUCAUAACUAAUUUAGAUUUCAUAUUCUCCAAAGACUAAUGUUGAAAAUAUAUUUAAUAGAGUCCUUCAAUACUUAACAUACAUCUUUAAAUAUCUAAGAUAAGAGAAAGAAGCAAAAAUAAAUUGAUAGCUCGAAUUCUAGAUGAUUGGAUGAAUGUUUUACGUUACAAUCCAUAGUAACAUGACAAUGUUUUUUGUUCUUAGCCUAUUGACUCCGAACAAGAAAGUUGAUGAUUGGUAAACAAAGAAAAUUAUGAAAUCAUAAAGAAUUCAUCUUUCAUUUUCGUUGCCAUCUUAAUGGAAAACUAUGCAUCAACUUCUGGGAAAGAAAAGAUUAGAACUUUGUGAUGUUAGGUAGAAAGCCACAGUGAGGACUUACAAGACCAAUUUGGCACCACAAGCUAUUGGUCAUUGUCUAUAUCAUGCAAGGACAUGAGGAGGAACAUCUAGAAUAGGAAGUUGGACCACUGAACAACUUUCUAUCUUGUGGUUUCCAUGGAUUCUUUUACUUAUGAUUAAUAAUUCCAUUUCCUAAAGUUAGAUGCCUCUUCAUUGAUUUCAAUUAAUGGUAGCUGCUUUUUGACUUGCUCAUUUUUGCAAGUCAUGGGACCUAUGUCAUAUGAUGUACUCAUGCGCCAAAGCUUCUUCCAAAACGAAGGAGAGUAAUCUUUUUUCUGUCUUUUUCUCCUUUUUUUUUUGGAAUUAAGAUAUUCUUAUAAUUUUUCUCUACGUUGGUGUAGUUUUUCUUUCUCAAAAGAAGCAAUUAUACCUCCUAAUUUGAUUUAGGGUUUCACUUAAAAGGGUAAGACUGUAGGCUAUUAAAACUCACUAUCAGCUGAAUCUGAUGGGUUGUCAGCCCGUCAGCCCAACAGUUUAUGCAUCUCUGUACCUUCUGAGACGAGAACUUUCUCAUAGCAAAAGAUAAAUACUCUUUGCGUUUCAUUCAAAAAAAGCUAGUGGAAAUACUAAGGAACUUCCUGUUCAUAACUCUGGUAAUACUAUUGAAUGUAGAACGUGAAGUUGCUUCUGGGACGGCGAGGUAUCGAAGCUAACGCCACAAACAUGAUAUGCUACUGGAUUCACCCUGCAAACAUGGAGAUCUAUUGUUGGGAGAACUGAUUCGGGCAGCAGGUGGAAGAACCGCCGCAGAAGAAGGGAAGACUCAGCCGAAAUCGUCACCGAGCGAUGCCAGAAGCCGACCAAAUCGUUGGUGAUACGGCAUAUUUUGGCGCCCAAGACAUGCUAAGUCAGAAUCCGUACUAAGGCACUACUCGACCUCGGAAACCCCAAGGCGACACCGUCCUUGAUAUGCUACUGGAUUCACCCGUCGCCUCACACAGAAGCCGACCAAAUCGUUGGUGAUACGACAUAUUUUGGCGCCCAAGACACGCUAAGUCAGAAUCCGUAGCACUACUCGACCUCGGAAACCCCAAGACGACGCCGCCCCCGAGACACGCCAAGUCAGAAUCCAUACUAAGGCACUGCUAGACACGUCCACCACGCCAACCUACGUACGACUGACCCACGUACAGUAAUAUAAAGACCUCUAGCCAGUAUCUGGCAGGGGAAGGAAAAAAUCAAUGGAUCACUCCACUGACUUGCUCAUCAGAGGGGCCUCAUCAGGUGAUCCUGACGAGAGCCAUUUUUGUAGGAAAACGUGGUCACCUCACGAAGACGAGCUGCCAGCCACCCUGGAGAGGGAGAGACGUAGCUCGGCAUACACAGUGCCCGGAUCGGCACACCAAGGAACGCUGAUCCACACAUCGUCACGAGGGCCUGGUCGACCUCGACAUCCAGCUCAGCCAACAGAAGACUCCCGACAUCGACCAGUGAACCAGGCUGUGCUGACUCACUAGUCACGACACAUUUGUUCACUAACAUUUUGGUGCUAGAAGGAGGGCAUGUCGCAUGAGCAUCCCGCGGGAGCUAUCCCCGAGGGAGAACCACUGGCCGGUCACCCUUUUGUCGGGCCCGGAGAUCAGCCCCUCCCCAUCCUUCGAGAUGGGGGGGAUCCCGGUCUCGACGCUAGAUCAUUGCUGGCGCCCGAGACCAGGUCGGGACAGGAGAAGCCCAAGACCAAAUGAUGGACCCGAGAGGUCCGCCCGAGCAGAGCAUACCCACACAUUGCCGAGUCACACUACCCCACUUCGAGCCUGACACUGUAUCAUCUGACUCGACGGACGACUCGCUUAGGGCCCAAUUGUCCUGGGUCAACCAACGUCUGGACGUGUUCCAGCGUGAGUUUCGAAAAUCGCAAGGCGAGUCCAGCGAAGGUGACUCGGGCGAGUCCCCUUUCACUUAGGAAAUAUAGGGUAAGCCGGUACCUCUCAACUUCAGCCUACCGACAUUGGAGACAUACGAUGACAGCUCUGAUCCCAUGGAUCCAAUGCCGAGUUGCAUCUCGGCCAAUCCAACGCCCGAGUCGUAUCUCGGUCAACCCAACGCCUAAGUCACAUCUCGGCCAAUCCAACGCUCGAGUCGCAUCUCGGCCAACCCAACGCCCGAGUCACAUCUUGGCCAAAUCCAGCAUCUGAGCCAUGCAUCUCGACCAAUCCAACACCCGAGUCUACUCUCGGCCAAAUCUAGCAUCCGAGCCACACACCUUGGCCAUCCAAUGCCCGAGCCAUGCAUCUCGGCCGAUCCAACGCCCGAGUCGCAUCUCAUCCAAAUCCAACGUCCGAGCCACACACCUCGGCCAAUCCAACGGCCAAGCCAUGCCUUAAUCGCACCUCGGCCAAUCCAACGCCCGAGCCAUGCCUCAGUACACCUCGGCCAAUCCAACACCUAAGCCAUGCCUCAGUCGCAUCUCAGCCAAUCUAACUCCCAAGCCAUGCCUUGCCAGACUAGUCCAUUAUCCGAGUUGCCCCAUGUCAAUCCCCAACUCACUACUCGUCAAAUCUCAAACCGAGUCACUCUAGCUCGCUCGCCAACUUGCAAACUCGGCAGCCGUAACUCUGGGCCGUGCCAAACCCGUUAUCCGACCUACGACACGUCAGUUUCGCCUCAUCGGUUUUGCCUCAUCAGGCUCCUGCCGCCCGAUCAGCAGAGUCAAUCCUGCCCAAAGCACGAGGCGUUGUCCCUCUAAAUUGCCCCACGAUGAGUUAAUCCAACUUCCCCUCAUGAGCCAUUAGCCUCACUCCGACCCAAGCAUGCCGCCCAACCCUUUAAGGACCCUACGACACGCCUUAGAGGGGGGGAGAAGUGAUACGAUAUAAUUUGGCCCCCAAGACACGCCAGGUCAGAAUCUGUACUAAUGCAAUGCUCGGCCUUGGGAACCCCGAGACGACGUCGCUCCCAAGACACGUCAGGUCAGAAUCUAUGCUAAGGCACUGCUUGGCACGUCCACCACGCCAACUUGCGUACGAUCGACCCACAUACAGUAAUAUAAAGACCUCUAGCUAGGUGGGGAGGAGGUAAAAAACAAAUCAAUCGGUCACUCGACUGACUUGCUCGUUGGAGGGGCCUCGUCGGGUGAUCCCGACGAGGGCCAUUUUUGUAGGAAAAGGUGGCCACCUCAAGAAGACGAACUGCCAACCACUCGAGAAUCGUCGUCCAGUGCACGAAGGAGAGCAGCCAACCAGCCCGGAUCUCGACUAACGCCAACCAGCACCCCUUCCCGAGGGCGCCGCCACCUCACGAAGACGAGCUGCCAACCACUCCGGAGAAAGAGAGACGCGGCUCGACAUACACAACGCCCGAAUCAGCACACCAAGGAACGAUGAUCAACACUCCGUCGUGAGGGCCCGGUCGACCUCGGCAUCCAGCUCAGUCGAUAGAAGACUCCUGACAUCGACCCGUGGACCGGGUCGUGCUGACUCAUCAGCGACAACACUUUUUUUCAUAACAGGUGUGCUUUUGAGCGAUCAGGUGCUUGUUGCGCAAAGGUGGAUGCCGGAAGAAGAAAGAUAGAGAAGGAGAAAACCAUGGAGGCCCCAGAACGGGUGUUGCCAUCUGCACGAAGAUUGUGGUGAGCAUGUUGAUUAUAAUUCUUUUAAGAAUAUUUUUUUAUAAAUUUAUUAGUGUUUAUGUACAUAAGAAAAGGAUCAAUAAUAGAAUAAUAUGACAUCAUUAUUCUUAUAUGGUUUAUCCUUUAUCAUCUUUUAAAGUUACUUUAUCUUAUUUUCAGAAUGUAAUUUGCUUUUCUGUUUUUUUUUCCACGGUAUAUAGUUAGUAAAUCUGUAACUUUAAUCAUUAUUAACUUUUGCUUUGUUGUUACAGAUGAUUUAUGAGAAUUUUGUGGAACAUUAUAUCUCUUACAUAUUAAUGAUGCAUUUAAAAACACUGGAUUCAAAUCUAAAACUUGAUUAGUACAAUGAUGCACUAAUAUAUUUAUAAAAUCUUAAAUAUCUGAAUCAUUAUCCAGACUUGAAUCAAUUAGAAUCAAUUAGAAGCCGAUCAAAUCGUUGGCACCCCUUCCGACGCCAGGCUAGACCUUCUAAGGAUGACCGCAGCCCCCGAAAAGUAUGGUCUGAACUUAAAAGAAAGGUACAACAACAAACCAGCAACACUAAUGGUGGUGGCGACGUUGAUCUUGAUGGGAUUUCAAGUGAAGGGGAGGCAGUUCUAAAACAUGGUCUCAAGUUAUUCCUUCUGUUCGACAUGUUCGGGUUGUUUGCAUCCUUGAGCAUCAUCCUCUUGUUGAUAUGUUGUGUGCCCAGACAGACUAAAAUGGUGACGGGAAUCCUAAAGUGGAUUUUAUGGCUGGCGGUGUUCUCGACGGCAUUAGCAUUCUCGACCGCCAUUGUGCGAAUAUUUUCUAAUCCGCCCUACACUGGCAUCCUUCUCCUGAGCUGGUUCGGAAUCCUCAGUCUCUUCAUGGUUUGGGUGUGCUUUAGAGCGAUCAGGUGCUUGUUGCGCGAAGGCGGAUGCUGGAAGAAGAAAGAUGGAGAAGGAGAAAGCCACGGAGGCCCCAGAAGGGCCGUUGCCAUCUGCACGAAGACUGUGGUGGGCGUGUUGAUAAUAAUUCUUUUAGGAGUAUUUUCUAUUGUAAAUUAUUUACUGUUUGUUUAUAUAGCGACAAGGUCAAAUAAUAGAAUAAUAUGACCUAUUAUUAUUCUUAUAUGGUUUAUCCUUUAUCAUGUUUUAAAGUUACUUUAUCUUAUUUUCAGAAUGUAAAUUGCUUUUCUGUAAACUUGUUCCUGUACGUCAUCUUCUAUAUAAAAAUUAAUGGAAGUUCAUUUUAGUGUGUUUUCCAUUUGCUUUUCUGUAAACUUGUUCCUGUACGUCAUCAACGUCAAUCCUGACAUACUUUUUUUUGUUUUGCAAGAAAGGAAAAAAAUUAUUUAUUAGAUAGCAUGGGUACAAAAGUCACCUUAAAGAUAUGAGAUAAUAAUCAAAAAAAGAAAAGUUCUGAGAGUCACUCUCCUCACCUAAAAAUAGUAAUUAGAUGCACUCGGCAAGCCCCAUAGUCCCACAUCGAGAAAAUCAAGUUUGAUAUCUCCUGUUUAAACUAUAAAUAAGGGCCUAGGCUUUGAAGUCAAAUGCACCACAAGUGGCAUCAUAAGAAAACCUAAGUAUUUGCUUUGGUUUUAAGUCCACACUCAGUUAAAUAGUUUGGGCUUAUUGAUGAGGUUUUUCUUGUUUAGUAUUUUUGGGUGUUUUAUGGCCUAGGAACAUCUUCCUAAGGCACCGUACUACGUAAAUCUGAUGUUCUUGUCGCUUUUAUCUUUUUGCUUUAUUUUCUUUGUUGUGUUGUCAAAAUUAUCUUGUGGUAAAUUUUCUAUUUUCUAGGGCUAGCUCUAAUAGUUGGCUCCUCUAUUAUAUUCAUGUUAUACAUGUGUGAUCAAGAAAGAGUGAAACAUCUUAACAAUAGCAAAAUCUCAUCAAGAUGCUCUAAGAAAAUUGAGAUGUGCCACUUAGGAUGUCCACAAAGCACUUAAAAUCAGUUUCAAUAUCAAUACGAUUAAAACCAUCGAAUAAGAUUUUAGAGAGUGUAUGAUGAAUAGUUGCUGGUUCAUCAGCACUUAAAAUGACGAUUAGAAGAGAAUGCUCCAUCUCCUCCAAUAUAUGCAACUAGAAAAAAGAACACCACUAGUAUUAAGAUGAAAAAACUGGUACCCUCCUUGUCAUAUUGAUUGAAAGAGCUAUCACAGUUUAAUUUUAGCCACCUAAAUUAAGACCUAGUUCAAGAGAUCGUUUCAUAGAAACUUUAGAAUGAUCCUAUAAUAAUAAAAAAAAAAUUAUCCUAACAAAGAUAGUAUUAGAAGAAGCUUUGAGUUGCUAAAAGAUCCAAUUUGAAGGAGGAAAAGAGGAAGAGAAGUGUGAUUUUGANNNNNNNNNNNNNNNNNNNNCACAAAUAGCUUCCAACACUAACUAGAGUUGAAAGGGGAAGGGGCACUCUAAGAUUGGAUAGUGCCAUACUUAGCAUAAGCAACCUUGACCCAAACGAUAUCAGCACUAUUAGGAAGAUAAAAAAAUUCUUUUGACAUGCAAUGCAUAUUUGGUUAUGUGCAUGUCCUUGAUGCCCAAGCCACUAAUGAACUUAGGCAAAGUGAUGGUGUCCCAAGAAAGCAAGUAAAGAGACCUUUAGAGUUGUCAUGGUUGGACCAAAGGAAUAUGUGGGUUAAUGAAGAGAUUUUAUUAAUAACAGUAGAAGGAGACACUUAAGGAGUGUAUAGGGAUGGAGUUUAAGUACAAAUUAAUCAAGGUGACACAACCAGCUUGUGAUAGAAGGGAGCCUUGCCAUUUACCAAACUUGCUGGUAAUCGGUUGAAUGAUACUAUUUAUACUAGAAAUCGAAAUGUGAGAAGGGACAAUCCAAAUAUUCACAAUAAAUGAAAGAUUUCGACUGCUAAUAUAUUGAUAAACAUUUCUUCAGCGGAUCAUUGAAAUGGAGACGCCCUGUGUAGAUUUUUUGUUCCGCUCCCAUCUUUCUUUCGCUGAAACUACUUGGAAAGGGAUGAUGGAGCCAUGUCGGCUUGUCCCGAAGCGUGGAUGAUUUUUUUUUCUUCUUUUGAAAAGUAAAGAAGAUUAUAUUAGAUCAGCUAAAGCUGCAAAAUCCGAAGAGGUCAAAGUCGUCCAACGAAGACGAGAACAAAAAAAGGUGAUUAUUCAUCCAAAAAAAAUUAGCAUGGUCGUAAGCGACAAGAUCGAGAAAGCGAUCAAAAUAUUUAAACCGGACAACUUGAAGGAAACCGACGACCGGGAUAAUGGUGUGGAGACCCACGAGUCUCGCUGUUAGGGUUGAAGAAGUUGAUCAGCCGGACAGGACACCAAGGUGAUGUUACGUUAAAGCGUUCAGCAUGCAGUCCCGUGAGCACCGCAAUCCAAUCCGAUGAAAUGAUGACUUCGGCAAAAACAUCCAUCCAAUUUUUAUCCGAACAAUUGCGCACGCUGUUGCUAUCCCACUCGCCGUUCGGCUUUCGUCUCCCUCGCUGCGUUUCCAACGCAUCGAUUCCUUGGGAUAAGUUAUUUAAACGGGACUGCAGUGGCCACUGUGAGCUCGAUGACCAAGUCGUCUCUUUGGCGUCUGGUGAGGACAGGCUGUACAAGAAGGAGGAACUGCUCCAAUCACAAGCCUCCAUAUCGAUUUAUCUGCAAGCUUGUUUUCAUUCAUCCAUCCCUCCCUCCCUCCUGAUGUAUCAUCAGCCAGAUGGAAGGAUAGGGUGUUGAUGAGGUAUGUUUCGCUGAAACUAAUUAAAAAUUUAAGUGAAGAUAGGUUUUAGGAAGAUAUUAUUGUAAUUAGAAGAAAAGUUAGGAAAAGCUAUAUCAUAAGUCCAUCAUGUUUCGUCAACAUUCUCAAACACAAAUACCGCACGUCGACUGUCCCAGUCUCGCUUCAUUCUCUAGGUAGUUUCGGCGAACGAGAAAGCAAGCUGAGCAAAAGUAUUCUGCGAAGUCCAGACCAAUGGGAUGCAAGACGAGAAGAAGCAGCUUACGUUUUGGAGACGACUUGGUCAACAAGGCCGGCGUCUUGAUGGAGACUGGACCAAGAAGACCGAGCGGGAGGAAUCGUUAGAGAUUUUUAGCCUAUAUAUAGGCGUCCUAACUUCGAGUUGUUUGUGACCAAAUCGAGAGAGAGAGAGAGAGUGUGUGUGUGUGUAACUAAGCAUGGAUCCGAGACUAGAGGAAGCAGCUUAUGCGGGAGACCUCACUUUGUUGCGGCGUUUGCUACAAGAAGACCGGCUCCUGCUCCACAGGCAAGCCAUCGCCGCGGCUCACCUGUCGGACAGCCCCCUCCACAUCGCUGCAUCGCUCGGACACUCCGACCUGGUCCGGGAGAUCCUCACCGUAAACCCGGAGCUCGCGCAUGGCCGCAACCGCGAAGGCCUUUCCACCUUGCAC
rnacentral:lncRNA from 1 species